rnacentral:rRNA from 1 species
UCCACGCCCUAAACGAUGAACACUAGUCGUCGGGAUGCUAGUCAUCUCGGUGAUGCACUUAACAGAUUAAGUGUUCCGCCUGGGGAGUACGGUCGCAAGAUUAAAACUCAAAGGAAUAGACGGGGACCCGCACAAGUGGUGGAGCAUGUGGUUUAAUUCGAUGCAACGCGAAGAACCUUACCUACCCUUGACAUUGACAGAAUCCUUUAGAGAUAGAGGAGUGCCUUCGGGCCUGGAAAAC